CCUACGGGUGCAGCAGUGGGGAAUAUUGGACAAUGGGCGAAAGCCUGAUCCAGCCAUGCCGCGUGUGUGAAGAAGGCCUUCGGGUUGUAAAGCACUUUCAGUGGGGAAGAAAGCCUUGGGGCUAAUACCCUCGAGGAAGGACAUCACCCACAGAAGAAGCACCGGCUAACUCCGUGCCAGCAGCCGCGGUAAUACGGAGGGUGCGAGCGUUAAUCGGAAUUACUGGGCGUAAAGCGCGCGUAGGCGGUCUGAUAAGCCGGUUGUGAAAGCCCCGGGCUCAACCUGGGAACGGCAUCCGGAACUGUCAGGCUAGAGUGCAGGAGAGGAAGGUAGAAUUCCCGGUGUAGCGGUGAAAUGCGUAGAGAUCGGGAGGAAUACCAGUGGCGAAGGCGGCCUUCUGGACUGACACUGACGCUGAGGUGCGAAAGCGUGGGUAGCAAACAGGAUUAGAUACCCCAGUAGUC
rnacentral:rRNA from 1 species